rnacentral:lncRNA from 1 species
CGAAGUUCGAGGUUCUUUUCAAUGUAACAGGUUCGUAUAUAACGUAUUGACAGAGUGAAAAUCCCUUAUUUACAUUUUACAUACUGUAUUGCGGGAUAUUAUUUCGAGGCUUUCAUUAUUGCGAUCAAUGUGAAUUGAAUUACGCGAAAAAUUAUGCACACGUUCGUGUUUUGUGAGCGAUACAUGUUACCAGUCGGCAGGUAGAUAACGGUAAAUGGUAGUUUAAACAACAUAAAGGCCAAAGGGUUUUGUACAUACAUGUAUAUAAAAUAUGUAUACUUUAAGUAAUUAGCACAAUAUUACGGGUGCAAUAUGUGAAGCAGGAUCUACUUACACUUUCAGAUAACCUGAGCUCACACCUGGUUUUUAUGCGGUUUGUCUU